rnacentral:rRNA from 1 species
UGAAUGUUUAUCAAAAACAUUUCUUCAUGGGUUUUUUUGAAGUAUUCCCUGCCCUAUGAAUUAUUUUAAAUGGCCGCGGUAUUUUAACUGUGCAAAGGUAGCAUAAUAAUUAGUCUUUUAAUUGAGGUCUUGAAUGAAUGGGUUAACAAAAAAAUAUCUUUAUUAAAUUAAAUUUUUUUAAGUUAAUUUUAAAGUUAAAAUUCUUUAAUAAUUAAGGGGGACGAUAAGACCCUAUAGAUCUUAAAAAAAUAAAUUUCUUAUUUGGUUUUUUUAUUUAUAAAUUAAUUUAUUUAUUUAGUUGGGGAGAUUUUUAAAAAUUUAAACUUUAUUUUUUUUUUACAUCAAUUUAUGUUUAUAUUGAUCCAGUAUUUCUGAUUAUAAGAUAAAGAUACCUUAGGGAUAACAGCGUAAUAAAUUUGGGGAGUUCAUAUUUAUAAAUUUGUUUGCGACCUCGAUGUUGAAUUAAAAUUUUGGGAGGGGGAAGGUUUUUUCUAUAUUGG